rnacentral:rRNA from 1 species
UACGUAGGGGGCAAGCGUUGUCCGGAAUUAUUGGGCGUAAAGAGCGCGUAGGCGGUCCGGUAAGUCGGCUGUGAAAGUCAAGGGCUCAACCCUUGAAAGCCGGCCGAUACUGUCGGACUAGAGUCCGGAAGAGGCGAGUGGAAUUCCCGGUGUAGCGGUGAAAUGCGCAGAUAUCGGGAGGAACACCAAUGGCGAAGGCAGCUCGCUACACGAAUAUUGACUCUGAGGCACGAAAGCGUGGGGAUCAAACAGG